rnacentral:rRNA from 1 species
UUCUUCUUCCCUGCACUGUCCAUGCGUUUCGCCGCUUCCAUCCGUCGCUGCUGCUCAGGUGGUGGCGAGGUGAGAGGAGGGGCCGUGUGGGAUUAGCGAAAGGGCCCAAAUUUUGGCGAGGUCUAGGCUGCUCGGCUGGUUCAGUUAGGCGGCCGGUGGCUGCGCGCGGCGCCGUGGCUUCGAAGGAGGGAAGGAAGGGAGGCGGGCUGGGCGCUAGAGCUAAGGACGGCCUCGCUCCGCCUCCUUACCCCCACCUCCUCCUCCUCCCGCGGUAGUUGCCGCCGCUCCUCCCCGGGCCGGAGCGCCGCCGCGGCGUGCUGGCGACCCAGGACGAGGCGGGGCGGGUCCCGAGGCGGGCGGGGAGGCGGGCGAUGUUCGUACGGCGCCUCCACCAAGUUCUGUUCGACAUGCACCAGCCCCCUUCGGCCUUACCCGCGAGAGACAGUCUACAAGUCCAGAAACUAAAGUCCUGCAGGUUCACCAGUCGCAAUGACAAUUCAGGAUCAGCUCUAAGUUUGGUCGACUUAGAACUUUUAUUACGGCCUUUGGUCGGCAAGGGUCGUAAUCGUUCGGUAUCAUACCAGCUCACCUCCUUGUACGAAGACCAACAUCGACCCUUGAGGUCUCGUAGUUGUAGCUUAUUCCAAAGUCAAACCAAAUAGCUAGACCUUUGUUUAUCGACCAGACGACAACUAUGUAUACCUUUUCAGGGUUACCGAGCUCCACCCGUUAGACAUUGUGAUCAGCCAAGAGCUAAUUAUUACAAACCACCUCUCCUAUUAUUCUCCUCCGAAGACUCACUAGAAGUACAUGAACUGAACCUCUGUUACUAAACCCUUCUUCAAUUUUGUCUUUUUCCACCGGGUCGAGGAUCCAUACUAGUAAGCCGACGACAAAUACGACUUGUAAUAGAAAAUUAGAAACCGCCAAGGAGAGUGAGGUGUACGAAGUUGCUAGACAUGAAUGAACUGAACGUUUGAGACCUCACCAGAGUUGGACUGUGAGUUCCACGUGUAUAUUGAGGAUCCUCACCGGUACGACCAUACUACUAACUGCUUCUAACCAUGUAUCAACCACCACCUCUAUUACGGUCACCAAGGUGACUAUGUUAGCAUUACUUGCGAAGGUUCAAACAGACCAGACACCAGUGAUCACACAGUCAAGCUCUAGGUGAACGAACACUCCCGGAGUGAGAAACAAGUUGGUGUCAACUACCGCUUUUCAAAGAUUAACGGAAACCACCAAUGUUACCCUUCAUGUUGUUACUCUAGAAACACUACUUUGGGUUUGGUUCUUUGAAACACGUUGGAGCCGAAAAGGUUAGAGGUCGUCGGCGACGACGACGUCGAAGACACUUUCGACGGAUACGACGUUAUUGACGAUGACUACUCUUUUGAUUUCUAUAACAACGAUGACUACUAAACCUACACUUCUCUCGACUUGGACCUUCAAGAAGGUUUCUUUACCAACGGCUUUAACUACGUGAAUUACCCCUCUUUCCUCUUGAUCUCAGAGCUGACCGUCUUCAAGCGUGACUUUUGAGUUUCGAUUUCCUAUUUGAUCUACACCACUUCAACAGGGUGUUACUUAACUGUUUCCUUGAAUCUAGUCAACUCUUAGUCGAUCGACGACUCCCAAGUUCUACGGUCUUUGACCUCAGGGUUUAACGACGACGCGUAUUUUCCAACCUCAGACGAUCAAGAGACCUUUUACUUGACCUUCGGAACGUCGUUGUUUAUAGAGUCCGCCUUGUUUGGUACUGCUGAAGAGUCUCUGCCUUUAGUCCCCCGCACACCUUCACCCACCCUCCUUCACGUCUCCAGAGGCUGUUACUUAUCAGGAAGUUCUGUCCGUCGGUGGGUCGUCGCUUUGCCUCCGCUUCGACGAUGUCAAAACUCUGCCGAACAAACAGCGUCCGGUGGCCCGAGGAGGAGUUCUUGAACGGGCGCUGACUAAAACGCUUCCGCAGUGACUCUUGUCAGAAAACCUAGAAGACUUCGCCGCUGUGGACCAUCUUUAAAAGGCAUCCGCCGGACAAAUCUGUAACGUGUCGUUUUCGUACCACCAUGGUAUAUAUACUGUUCAUAUGGAUUCUAACAUGGCCUGACCUUUAUAUUAACCGACCCCUACAAUCGAGAACAAAAAACAAAAUUGGAAAGACCUCAACCAUAUGUUUAUACGAGUAACCAAGUCCGCUGACCCACCUUUUAUGUAACAAAUAUCGCAUUUAAAUGUAUGAAGACCAAGUCCACACUCACAAUACACGG